UACGUAGGUGGCAAGCGUUGUCCGGAUUUAUUGGGUUUAAAGGGUGCGUAGGCGGCCCUGUAAGUCAGUGCUGAAAUAUCCCGGCUUAACCGGGAGGGUGGCAUUGAUACUGCGGGGCUAGAGUACAGAUGAGGUAGGCGGAAUUGACGGUGUAGCGGUGAAAUGCUUAGAUAUCGUCAAGAACACCUAUAGCGAAGGCAGCUUACUAGGCUGUAACUGACGCUGAGGCACGAAAGCCAGGGGAGCAAACGGG
rnacentral:rRNA from 1 species